CGGGGAAUAUUGGACAAUGGGCGCAAGCCUGAUCCAGCAACGCCGCGUGGGGGAUGAAGGUCCUCGGAUUGUAAACCCCUGUUGAGAGGGGCGAAGGCUUUCGGGCGAAUAGUCCGGAAGCUUGACGGUACCUCUAUAGAAAGCCCCGGCUAACUCUGUGCCAGCAGCCGCGGUAAUACAGAGGGGGCAAGCGUUAUUCGGAAUCAUUGGGCGUAAAGGGCGCGUAGGCGGCCACGCAAGUCUUGGGUGAAAUCCCUCGGUCUCAACCGAGGAACUGCCCCGGAAACUGCAUGGCUUGAGGCCGGGAGAGGAUGGUGAAAUUUCCCAGUGUAGCGGUGAAAUGCGUAGAUAUUGGGAGGAACACCAGUGGCGAAGGCGGCCAUCUGGACCGGUCCUGACGCUGAGGCGCGAAAGCGUGGGGAGCAAACAGGAUUAGAUACCCUGGUAGUCCACGCCCUAAACGAUGGGUACUCGGUGUCGCGGGUAUCGACCCCUGCGGUGCCUUAGCUAA
rnacentral:rRNA from 1 species